rnacentral:rRNA from 1 species
UACGUAGGGUGCGAGCGUUAAUCGGAAUUACUGGGCGUAAAGCGUGCGCAGGCGGUUUUGUAAGCCAGGUGUGGAAUCCCCGGGCUCAACCUGGGAAUGGCAUUUGGGACUGCAAGGCUGGAGUGUGGCAGAGGAGACUGGAAUUCCUGGUGUAGCAGUGAAAUGCGUAGAUAUCAGGAGGAAUACCGAUGGCGAAGGCAGGUCUCUGGGCUGACACUGACGCUCAUGCACGAAAGCGUGGGGAGCAAACAGG